UCCCUGGAGGUCUAGUGGCUAGGCCACAGUGCUCUCACCGCUGUGGCCCGGGUUCGAUUCCUGGCCAGGAUA
rnacentral:tRNA from 1 species